GAUGCAGAAAAUUGAGGAGUAAGCAUCAAGGCAAUUCGCGUUUAACUCUCCCUCAAGGGCUUCAGCUAGCCAACGUCCCUUUGCAUUCUCUUUCAUGAGACUGGCGAUGAUGCACAGAGGAACGUGUUAAAGUUGAAUCCCGGCGGGGGGAGUUGGACGCGACCUGCCUUAACGAUCUCUGCUUGUAAACUUUCCCCUCAUGAAGAAACUACAGGUGCUCAAGCUAAAUGAGGGUACAGUUUCAAGAAGGGAAAAUUUGUUCGUGUGAAGAAAAGUGAUGAUGAAGAUGAUGAUGGAGAUCAUGGAAUAGAAGCAAAGGGUUUGCUCUCAAAGGAAAUUCAGAGAUGGAAGAAGCAACAAGAGACGUUAACUGCUCAAGCAGAAGAUGCUUCAUCUUUCUGCAGUAAGCCCUCGAAAUGCAAUCGUCGAUGAUCAUUUUUCCCAUGUAUUGUUGUAAUUUGCAGGCCUGUAUUGGUGUGUUUUUGCUUUUUCUAAUGAAUAAUGAUCGAUCGGCCUGCUCUGUUAAACGAUGGGAAAGAGAAACACAAGUAGACCCAGAAAAUUUCUGAGUGUUUUGUGUGUUUUUUUUCUUCUUGGAUUUUGACUGAUUUUAAUUGAUUUACUCUUAAUAUUGUUCCUUUUUUUUGUUAUAAAUAAGAUUAAAUUAGUUAUUGC